rnacentral:rRNA from 1 species
AGUGGAAAGGCUUCGGCUCUCGUCCAGGAUGCUGCGCCCAUUAGCUAGUUGGUGNGGUAACGGCCUACCAAGGCUUUGAUGGGUAGCUGGUCUGAGAGGAUGAUCAGCCACACUGGGACUGAGACACGGCCCAGACUCCUACGGGAGGCAGCAGUGGGGAAUCUUGCGCAAUGGGCGAAAGCCUGANNCAGCAACGCCGCGUGGGUGACGAAGGCUCUUGGGUCGUAAAGCCCUGUCAGGGGGNAAGAAUGUCCGUAUGGUUAAUACCCAUGCGGAGUGACGGUACCCCCAAAGGAA